rnacentral:rRNA from 1 species
GCUCGUAGUUGGAUUUCGGAGCGGCGCGGUUGGUCAGCCGCAAGGUAUGUCACUGGCCGCGCUGUUCUUCUUCGCCAAGACUGCGCGUGCUCUUAGUUGAGUGUGCGCAGGAUUCGUGACGUUUACUUUGAAAAAAUUAGAGUGUUCAAAGCAGGCUCGUGCUUGGAUACAUAAGCGUGGAAUAUGGAAUAGGACUUNGGUUCUAUUUUGUUGGUUUCUCGAACCGAAGUAAUGAUGAAUAGGGACAGUUGGGGGCAUUCGUAUUUCGUUGUCAGAGGUGAAAUUCUUGGAUUUACGAAAGACAACUAAUGCGAAANCAUUUGCCAAGAAUG